GUGCUCACUUUGGCAGCACAUAUACUAAAAUUGGAACAAUACAGAAAAGACUAGCAUGGCCCCUGCACAAGGAUGACCCACAAAUUUAUGAAGUGUUCCAUAUUAAA
rnacentral:snRNA from 1 species